GACGAACGCUGGCGGCGUGCUUAACACAUGCAAGUCGAACGAAGUGGCGAACGGGUGAGUAACGCGUAAUCAACCUGCCCUUCAGCGGGGGACAACAGUUGGAAACGACUGCUAAUACCGCAUACUGAAGGAGGGGAUUGCGUCUGAUUGGCUAGUUGGAGGGGUAACGGCCCACCACGGCAAUGACGAGUAUCCGGUCUGAGAGGAUGAACGGCCAAAUUGGGACUGAGACAAGGACCAGACUCCUACGGGAGGCAGCAGUAGGGAAUCUUCGGCAAUGGACGAAAGUAUGACCGAGAAACGCCGCGUGAGUGAAGAAGGUUUUCGGAUCGUAAAACUCUGUUGGUAGAGAAGCGGUAUCUAACCAGAAAGCAACGGCUAACUACGUGCCAGCAGCCGCGGUAAUAC
rnacentral:rRNA from 1 species